CUGGCCACAGUUCUGGUAGAGCACCAACACUCAUUUAAUCAUCGAAGUUAAGUCCAGAAGCCCUAAUUAAUACUGAGAUGGGAGACCAAGAUUGUUAAACAGU
rnacentral:rRNA from 1 species